UCAUGGCAAAGAUGGGUUAUAAAGA
rnacentral:piRNA from 1 species